rnacentral:misc_RNA from 1 species
UCAAAUCCCGGCAACCACGUAGUGGC